AACGCACAUUGCGCCCCUUGGUAUUCCAUGGGGCAUGCCUGUUCGAGCGUCAUUUGUACUCUCAAGCUUUGCUUGGUGUUGGGUGCUUUGUCUAUGCCUUUGCGUUUGGACUCACCUCAAAACAAUUGGCAGCCAGUGUAUUGGUGUAGAAGCGCAGCACAAUUUGCGCCUCUAGCUGGUCAUCACUGGCGUCCACAAGCCUAUUUUAACACGCUUGACCUCGGAUCAGGUAGGGAUACCCGCUGAACUUAA
rnacentral:misc_RNA from 1 species